AGCAGCCGCGGUAAUUCCAGCUCCAAUAGCGUAUAUUAAAGUUGUUGCAGUUAAAAAGCUCGUAGUUGAAUUUCGAGAUCAAAUUGUUGGUCGUGCCUCGGUACGUACUAGCAUUAUUGGUUUCUCCCUUCUGAAGAACCGCGAUGUCAUUAAUUUGGUGUCGUGGGGAAUCAGGACUGUUACUUUGAAAAAAUUAGAGUGUUUAAAGCAGGCUCGCGCUUGAAUACAUUAGCAUGGAAUAAUGAAAUAGGACGUUUGAUUCUAUUUUGUGGUUUCUAGGAUCGACGUAAUGAUUAAUAGGGAUAGUUGGGGGCAUUAGUAUUCAAUUGUCAGGGGUGAAAUUCUUGGAUUUAUUGAAGACUAACUACUGCGAAAGCAUUUGCCAAGGAUGUUUUCAUUAAUCAAGAACGAAAGUUAGGGAUCGAAGACGAUCAGAUACCGUCGUAGUCU
rnacentral:rRNA from 1 species